AGGAUAAACGCUGGCGGCGUGCCUAAUGCAUGCAAGUCGAACGGGAGCCCUUUCGGGGGUCGACCGUGGCGGACGGGUGAGGAACACGUAGCUAACCUGCCCAGGUAUGGGGGAUAUGCGCUGGAAACGGCGUGCAAUACCGCAUACGUUCGGGUGUCGGGAGACGCUUGAGGAAAGCCGAGUAAUCGGUGUACCUGGGAGGGGCUGCGUCGAUUAGCUAGUUGGAGUGGUAAGAGCACCCAAGCGAUGAUCGGUAGCUGGUCUGAGAGACGAUCAGCCACGACGGGACUGAGACCACGGCCCGACUCCGACGGGAGCCAGCAGACAAGGUAACUUUCCAA
rnacentral:rRNA from 1 species